rnacentral:rRNA from 1 species
AUUGAACGCUGGCGGCAUGCCUUACACAUGCAAGUCGAACGGCAGCACGGGAGCAAUCCUGGUGGCGAGUGGCGAACGGGUGAGUAAUACAUCGGAACGUGUCCUGGAGUGGGGGAUAGCCCGGCGAAAGCCGGAUUAAUACCGCAUACGCUCUAUGGAGGAAAGCGGGGGAUCGCAAGACCUCGCGCUCAAGGGGCGC